GACGAACGCUGGCGGCGUGCUUAACACAUGCAAGUCGAACGGAAAGGCCCUGCUUGCGGGGUGUGCUCGGGUGGAGAACGGGGGAGUAACAUGUGAGUAACCUGCCGUCGACAUUGGGAAAACUGCGGGAAACUGGCGCAAACACCGGAUAGGAGAUCCUGCUGCAGGUUGGGGGUUGGAAUGUUUCGGCUGGUGGGGAUGGACGGGCGGCUUAUCAGCUUGUUGGUGGGGUAGCGGCUGACCAAGGCUUUGACGGGUGGCCGGCCUGAGAGGGUGACCGGCCACAUUGGGACUGAGUUACGGCCCGGACUCCUACGGGCGGCAGCAGUGGGGAAUAUUGCACAAUGGGCGGAAGCCUGAUGCAGCAAGGCAGCGUGCGGGAUGAAGGCCUUCGGUUGGUAAGUCGCUUUCGCCUGUGACGAAGCGUGAGUGACGGUACCUGGUAAAGAAGCACCGGCUAACUACGUG
rnacentral:rRNA from 1 species